rnacentral:rRNA from 1 species
GAUGAACGCUGGCGGCGUGCCUAAUACAUGCAAGUCGAGCGAACGGACGAGAAGCUUGCUUCUCUGAUGUUAGCGGCGGACUGGUGAGUAACACGUGGAUAACCUACCUAUAAGACUGGGAUAACUUCGGGAAACCGUAGCUAAUACCGGAUAAUAUUUUGAACCGCAUGGUUCAAAAGUGAAAGACGGUCUUGCUGUCACUUAUAGAUGGAUCCGCUCUGCAUUAGCUAGUUGGUAAGGUAACGGCUUACCAAGGCAACGAUGCAUAGCCGACCUGAGAGGGUGAUCGGCCACACUGGAACUGAGACACGGUCCAGACUCCUACGGGAGGCAGCAGUAGGGAAUCUUCCGCAAUGGGCGAAAGCCUGACGGAGCAACGCCGCGUGAGUGAUGAAGGUCUUCGGAUCGUAAAACUCUGUUAUUAGGGAAGAACAUAUGUGUAAGUAACUGUGCACAUCUUGACGGUACCUAAUCAGAAAGCCACGGCUAACUACGUG